ACAAAAGUCUAGAGGGCACACUGUUAUUAGAAUUGAUUGGCUGACGCCUAAAUUUCUCUAAUUUUUUAUGGCUUUGUAAGCAGCUAGAAGUUGUUGAGUAAUAUAAAAAUUCUGUAAAAAGAAAAGGUGGCUGCUUCCUCUUCAAUAAAUGAUGUGAAACGUUUGGUAGCCCAACAACUACAUAUUCCUGUUGAUCAACAGCAGCUAGUAUUUAGAGGGGAAACUCUUUCAGAUGGCCUGAAUCUAUGUGACUACAACAUCAUGGAAGGAAAUAAACUACACGUUUUUGUUAGAAAAGAAGAGAAAGAUGCCAACAGCACCAGCCAGUCAGUGGUAUUGUGGAAUGAACUUGAAAAUUUUCUUCUCAAACACUUCAGCCCUUCUGAUGCAAAUUGUGUGUUAGAACAAUUUAAAAAGGAUUUUUCUUCUUCUGUGAGCAGUCUGAGCUUAGAUGACAUUGAAAGAAUAGCCAUUAUGAACUUGGAUGUAAAUGCUGCGUUCAGUGAGGAGUAUUCCCAAUCAUAUUAUCAGGAACUUGGAACAGUUGGAGAGUAAUAGAUGAUGUUUAUGUUACAGCAAAGACUCUUCAUUCCAUUGUUUAUUUUAAGGCUACAUUUUCAUUUGUUUGUUUUGAAGGGAUAUUAAUUCACCUCGGCAGUUCUAGAUCUUCAUUGAAAAGUUUAAUACUGAAUAUUUUCUUCAUAAAAGUUAACAUAAAAGAGGUAUUGGCUAUUACCUGCACCUGUUUUAUGUCUGUACAAAUUUGUAAAUUUUAAACAUUUUGUAUCCACUCACUUCUCCAGUGAUGUCUUCAUUUUGUACCUAAUAUGGGUUUCAUCAAUUGUAUCGUAAUUAAGUCAAAAAUACUUGUUGAAGAAAAAAA
rnacentral:misc_RNA from 1 species